UUCCCCUAGUAACUGCGAGUGAAGAGGGAAAAGCUCAAAUUUAAAAUCUGGCAGCCUUUGGUUGUCCGAGUUGUAAUCUAGAGAAGUGUUACCCGCGCCGGACCGUGUAUAAGUCUCCUGGAAUGGAGCGUCAUAGAGGGUGAGAAUCCCGUCUUCGACACGGAUCCCCGGGGCUUUGUGGUGCGCUCUCAAAGAGUCGAGUUGUUUGGGAAUGCAGCUCAAAAUGGGUGGUAAAUUCCAUCUAAAGCUAAAUAUUGGCGAGAGACCGAUAGCGAACAAGUACCGUGAGGGAAAGAUGAAAAGAACUUUGGAAAGAGAGUUAAACAGUACGUGAAAUUGCUGAAAGGGAAACGCUUGAAGUCAGUCGCGUCGGCUGGAAAUCAACCUUGCUUUUGCUGGGUGUACUUUCCAGUUGACGGGCCAGCAUCAGUUUUGACCGGUGGAAAAAGUCUAGAGGAAUGUGGCACCUUCGGGUGUGUUAUAGCCUCUGGUCGUAUACAUCGGUUGGGACUGAGGAACUCAGCACGCCGCAAGGCCGGUCUUCGGACACGUUCGUGCUUAGGAUGCUGGCAUAAUGGCUUUAAUCGACCCGUCUUGAAACACGGACCAAGGAGUCUAACAUGCUUGCGAGUAUUUGGGUGGAAAACCCGAGUGCGCAAUGAAAGUGAAAGUCGAGAUCCCUGUCGUGGGGAGCAUCGACGCCCGGACCAGACGUUCUCUGACGGAUCCGCGGUAGAGCACGUAUGUUGGGACCCGAAAGAUGGUGAACUAUGCCUGAAUAGGGUGAAGCCAGAGGAAACUCUGGUGGAGGCUCGUAGCGAUUCUGACGUGCAAAUCGAUCGUCAAAUUUGGGUAUAGGGGCGAAAGACUAAUCGAACCAUCUAGUAGCUGGGUUCCUGCCGAAGUUUCCCUC
rnacentral:rRNA from 1 species